rnacentral:rRNA from 1 species
GACGAACGCUGGCGGCGUGCUUAACACAUGCAAGUCGAACGUGAUUUUUGUGGAAAUUCUUUCGGGAAUGGAAAUGAAAUGAAAGUGGCGAACGGGUGAGUAACACGUGAGCAACCUACCUUACACAGGGGGAUAGCCGUUGGAAACGACGAUUAAUACCGCAUGAGACCACAGAAUCGCAUGAUAUAGGGGUCAAAGAUUUAUCGGUGUAAGAAGGGCUCGCGUCUGAUUAGCUAGUUGGAAGGGUAAAGGCCUACCAAGGCGACGAUCAGUAGCCGGUCUGAGAGGAUGAACGGCCACAUUGGAACUGAGACACGGUCCAAACUCCUACGGGAGGCAGCAGUGGGGAAUAUUGCACAAUGGGGGGAACCCUGAUGCAGCGACGCCGCGUGAGCGAAGAAGGUUUUCGAAUCGUAAAGCUCUGUCCUAUGAGAAGAUAAUGACGGUAUCAUAGGAGGAAGCCCCGGCUAAAUACGUGCCAGCAGCCGCGGUAAUACGUAUGGGGCGAGCGUUGUCCGGAAUUAUUGGGCGUAAAGGGUACGUAGGCGGUUUUUUAAGUCAGGUGUGAAAGCGUGAGGCUUAACCUCAUUAAGCACUUGAAACUGGAAGGCUUGAGUGAAGGAGAGGAAAGUGGAAUUCCUAGUGUAGCGGUGAAAUGCGUAGAUAUUAGGAGGAAUACCGGUGGCGAAGGCGACUUUCUGGACUUUUACUGACGCCCAGGUACGAAAGCGUGGGGAGCAAACAGG